rnacentral:rRNA from 1 species
GAUGAACGCUGGCGGCGUGCCUAAUACAUGCAAGUCGAGCGAACGGACGAGAAGCUUGCUUCUCUGAUGUUAGCGGCGGACGGGUGAGUAACACGUGGAUAACCUACCUAUAAGACUGGGAUAACUUCGGGAAACCGGAUCUAAUACCGGAUGAGAUUUUGAACCGCAUGGUUCAAAAGUGAAAGACGGUCUUGCUGUCACUUAUAGAUGGAUCCGCGCUGCAUUAGCUAGUUGGUAAGGUAACGGCUUACCAAGGCAACGAUGCAUGGCCGACCUGAGAGGGUGAUCGGCCACACUGGAACUGAGACACGGUCCAGACUCCUAAGGGAGGCAGCAGUAGGGAAUCUUCCGAAAUGGGCGGAAGCCUGACGGAGCAACGCCGCGUGAGUGAUGAAGGUCUUCGGAUCGUAAAACUCUGUUAUGUGGGAAGAACAUAUGUGUAAGUAACUGUGCACAUCUUGACGGUACCUAAUCAGAAAGCCACGGCUAACUACGUG